CAAAAACAUUUCCUCUUAGGAUAAGAGGUAAGGCCUGCUCACUGAUAAUUUAAAGAGCCGCAGUAUCCUAACUGUGCUAAGGUAGCAUAAUCAUUAGUCUUUUAAUUGGAGACUGGUAUGAAUGGCUAAACGAGAAAUUGACUUUUUUUACUAUACAAAUUGAACUUAAUUUUUUAGUGAAAAAGCUAAAAUGUUUCAGAAAGACGAGAAGACCCUAUAGAGUUUUAUAUUAACUUAAAUUUUUUCUCAGUAGAUUUUCAAAGAAUAAUUUUAAUAAAAUAUUUUGUUGGGGCGACAUUAAGAUACAAAAAACUCUUUAUUUUUUUCACUUUUAUAAAAGAAUUAUAUGACCCUCUAUAAGGGAUCAAAAGAAAAAAUUACCUUAGGGAUAACAGCGUAAUCUUUUUUGAGAGUUCUAAUCGACAAAAAGGUUUGCGACCUCGAUGUUGGACUAAAAUUUAGGCAGGGUGCAGCAGUUCUGCUUUUAGGUCUGUUCGACCUAUAAUA
rnacentral:rRNA from 1 species